CUCGUAGCAGUUUCACACCAAGACAUCUGCUCUGCAAAUCUCUGUUGCCACUGUGGGAAGGAAAGCUGUUAGUCUCGUGUAAAUCUAAAAAUGGGAAGUGUUGGUAUUUGUCCCUGUUCCCCAGACUUCAUCGCCAAGUGGAUAUUUGUGGUUCAGUGAUCCACUCAAAAACAAGAUGGGGAGAUGCAAGACAGAAAGUGGAGAGAAGAGUUAUGUGUUGAGUACCAGAUGCCAGAGGCUGAGCUGAGCUGGGCAAUUUACACACAUCAUCUCAGUUAAUCUUCACGAAACAGAUGCUGGUUGCUGUAAAUACCACUGAGGAACUUUAAUGUGCCCCAGAUGUAGAAGCCUCUAGUGACCUAAAUACACAAACAGGGACUAAAGAGAACCAAGUAAAAGAUUCAAGAUUUCAAGUGUAAGCGGAGAGAUACUGCUUCAAAGUGGAAG
rnacentral:lncRNA from 10 species